rnacentral:rRNA from 1 species
AUUGAACGCUGGCGGCAGGCCUAACACAUGCAAGCCGAACGGUAACAGGAAACAGCUUGCUGUUUCGCUGACGAGUGGCGGACGGGUGUGUAAUGUCUGGGAAACUGCCUGAUGGAGGGGGAUAACUACUGGAAACGGUAGCUAAUACCGCAUAACGUCGCAAGACCAAAGAGGGGGACCUUCGGGCCUCUUGCCAUCGGAUGUGCCCAGAUGGGAUUAGCUAGUAGGUGGGGUAACGGCUCACCUAGGCGACGAUCCCUAGCUGGUCUGAGAGGAUGACCAGCCACACUGGAACUGAGACACGGUCCAGACUCCUACGGGAGGCAGCAGUGGGGAAUAUUGCACAAUGGGCGCAAGCCUGAUGCAGCCAUGCCGCGUGUAUGAAGAAGGCCUUCGGAUUGUAAAGUACUUUUAGCGGGGAGGAAGGGAGUAAAGUUAAUACCUGUGCUCAUUGACGUUACCCGCAGAAGAAGCACCGGCUAACUCCGUG